rnacentral:rRNA from 1 species
AUACGUAGGGAGCGAGCGUUGUCCGGAAUUACUGGGCGUAAAGGGCGCGUAGGCGGCGCUUCAAGUCGUCUGUCAAAUGGGAGGGCUUGACCCUUUUUCGCAGACGAAACUGGAGAGCUUGAGAAGCAGAGAGGCAAACAGAAUUCCUGGUGUAGCGGUGAAAUGCGUAGAUAUCAGGAAGAAUACCAGUGGCGAAGGCGGUUUGCUGGCUGCAUACUGACGCUGAAGCGCGAAAGCCAGGGGAGCAAACGGGAUUAGAUACCCCGGUAGUCCUGGCAGUAAACGAUGUAUGCUGGGUGUGAGACUAGCGAUAGUUUCGUGCCGAAGUUAACGCGAUAAGCAUACCGCCUGGGGAGUACGGUCGCAAGAUUGAAACUCAAAUGAAUUGACGGGG